GAUGAACGCUGGCGGCGUGCCUAAUACAUGCAAGUCGAGCGAAUGGAUUAAGAGCUUGCUCUUAUGAAGUUAGCGGCGGACGGGUGAGUAACACGUGGGUAACCUGCCCAUAAGACUGGGAUAACUCCGGGAAACCGGGGCUAAUACCGGAUAACAUUUUGAACCGCAUGGUUCGAAAUUGAAAGGCGGCUUCGGCUGUCACUUAUGGAUGGACCCGCGUCGCAUUAGCUAGUUGGUGAGGUAACGGCUCACCAAGGCAACGAUGCGUAGCCGACCUGAGAGGGUGAUGGGCCACACUGGGACUGAGACACGGCCCAGACUCCUACGGGAGGCAGCAGUAGGGAAUCUUCCGCAAUGGAAGAAAGUCUGACGGAGCAACGCCGCGUGAGUGAUGAAGGCUUUCGGGUCGUAAAACUCUGUUGUUAGGGAAGAACAAGUGCUAGUUGAAUAAGCUGGCACCUUGACGGUACCUAACCAGAAAGCCACGGCUAACUACGUGCCAGCCGCCGCCGUAA
rnacentral:rRNA from 1 species